rnacentral:rRNA from 1 species
AGACCCGAAACCCGGUGAUCUAGCCAUGGGCAGGUUGAAGGUUGGGUAACACUAACUGGAGGACCGAACCGACUAAUGUUGAAAAAUUAGCGGAUGACCUGUGGCUGGGGGUGAAAGGCCAAUCAAACCGGGAGAUAGCUGGUUCUCCCCGAAAGCUAUUUAGGUAGCGCCUCGUGAAUUCAUCUCCGGGGGUAGAGCACUGUUUCGGCUAGGGGGCCAUCCCGGCUUACCAACCCGAUGCAAACUGCGAAUACCGGAGAAUGUUAUCACGGGAGACACACGGCGGGUGCUAACGUCCGUCGUGAAGAGGGAAACAACCCAGACCGCCAGCUAAGGUCCCAAAGUCAUGGUUAAGUGGGAAACGAUGUGGGAAGGCCCAGACAGCCAGGAUGUUGGCUUAGAAGCAGCCAUCAUUUAAAGAAAGCGUAAUAGCUCACUGGUCGAGUCGGCCUGCGCGGAAGAUGUAACGGGGCUAAACCAUGCACCGAAGCUGCGGCAGCGACACUCAGGUGUUGUUGGGUAGGGGAGCGUUCUGUAAGCCUGCGAAGGUGGCCUGU